UCAGCAGCCAACCACAUGGGACCAAACCAUCCUCCUCUUCUCAGAGGGGAAGCUUACGGAAAGUAGCAACUGGGCGUUCCGCCAAAGACAAAGAAACAGCAUCAGCCAUCAAGUCCAACGAGAGCCCUCGAGAUUCAGUAGUUGGGAAGCAGUUUCUACAACAAGCAGAUCUCAGCAUAGAUUCAGUUGAGCUGACACCGAUGAAGAAACACUUGAGCCUGCCUGCAGGCCAGGUGGUGCCAAAAACCAAUAGUCUAAGCCUAAUCCGGACAGCCAGUGCUUCCUCAAGUAAAUCUUUUGACUAUGUAAA
rnacentral:lncRNA from 1 species